AGUGAACGCUGGCGGUAGGCCUAACACAUGCAAGUCGAACGGCAGCACAGUAAGAGCUUGCUCUUACGGGUGGCGAGUGGCGGACGGGUGAGGAAUACAUCGGAAUCUACUUUUUCGUGGGGGAUAACGUAGGGAAACUUACGCUAAUACCGCAUACGACCUACGGGUGAAAGCAGGGGAUCUUCGGACCUUGCGCGAUUGAAUGAGCCGAUGUCGGAUUAGCUAGUUGGCGGGGUAAAGGCCCACCAAGGCGACGAUCCGUGGCUGGUCUGAGAGGAUGAUCAGCCACACUGGAACUGAGACACGGUCCAGACUCCUACGGGAGGCAGCAGUGGGGAAUAUUGGACAAUGGGCGCAAGCCUGAUCCAGCCAUACCGCGUGGGUGAAGAAGGCCUUCGGGUUGUAAAGCCCUUUUGUUGGGAAAGAAAAGCAGUAGGUUAAUACCCCGCUGUUCUGACGGUACCCAAAGAAUAAGCACCGGCUAACUUCGUG
rnacentral:rRNA from 1 species